ensembl:miRNA
CCCCGCCCGGGCAGCGCGCCGGCACCUUGGCUCUAGACUGCUUACUGCCCGGGCCGCCCUCAGUAACAGUCUCCAGUCACG